CUCCAGACUGCCCCGCCUCCUGUUAUCACCGCAUCUGGCCGCCUCACCUGAUCGCCUUUUUUUAGCUGGGUCGUGCAGCUCGCCGUUGUUUGGCAAUUCAUUGGCCGGGUCUUCCUUCUCCCGUAUCGGCCCCAAUUGUAGGGCAUGCGAGUGUUUUCCUCCUCUGCCGGUUGCAGCGGGGAGCGAUCAGCUGAUCGAUCGAGUUGCACGUAAUUGUGCUGCUCGACGCAAGUGAUCCCCUUCCUCCCCUUUGAUGUUCAUUCAACUCCUGACGGGUUGACGUGUGUGUGGGCGGUUUCUGCCAGCACGUUUCCCCCCCUCUUCACGCUGCUGUUGGCCGGCUGCUGUUUUGCCCACUGGCUUAUAUAGCCAACACAUCCAUCCUACUCUGCAUCUCCUACUGUGCUGUACCUGCCACCGAGUAUGGUGACUGCUGCCUCAUCCUCAGUCUCAUCUUAAUCUAUUCAGUUAACCGACUUCUAACUGAUCUUAUUGAUAUUAUUUGUGUUUUGUAGUUUGCUUUGCAUGUUUUUGGUUUAAUUCGUUUUCUUAGUUAUUUUGGUUUGGCUUAAUUGCUUUACCUAUUUAUUUGGAUUUAUCAGUUUGGAUAAAUCUCCAUUACUUUUGAUUUAAUUUCUUUGUUAGUUUUCUUUUGUUUGCAUUUAUUGAGUUUGUUUAAGUUGCGGGUUGAAGUGAUUUAACCCUGAUUUAAACCCCAUUUAGUUAUUUGCUCUCCCUUUUUUGUAUUUUGUGUUGUGUGUGUGUGUGUGUUCGCUUUAGUGUGGUUGGGUGAACAUAUUUUAUUGCGAAGUCAUGUUUAAAGAUUGUAUAUAUUAAUUAAAAGGAAUUGAAAUUGUAUGCUGGACCCAGUCUCAAGCUUUCAUUAGUAAUGAACUUGUGUGCUUUAACUUUAAGGUUAAUCUAACUCUCCAGGUGAAAUUCCUGGGGUGGCGUUGCUGGCAACUUGUCACUAGUUCAACUAAAACUUCAUCUUAUUGGUCCCUCGAACGUCGAAUGCCACAUUUACUUGGAACUUUAAACCAGUUCAUGAGAGUAGUGAACUUGCACAACACUGCAUGACACACGCACACAUGCACACACAUACACACACGCACAUACAUACACAAAAUGAGGAAAUGGCAGUAAAAUGACGACAAGGGGAAUUCAUGCAUUGUCAAGGAAGUAA